UUCCACAAAGUACUGCAAAUUUGUAAGCUUAGAUCAUCAAAAAUGUGUGGCGGUGCAAUCCUCGAAGGCCUCAUCCCGCCCCGCAACAACAACGACGGCACUCGCCGUCUCUCCUCCGCUGACCUCUGGCCCUCCGCUACUGAUUUUUGGCCCAACUCUCACCUUGCCAAGCCCAGCCGCUCCAACCCAACUGAUGCCCCCCACAAAGCCACGCACGAAACUUGUCACGAUCCACAUGAUGAAGCUGGUAAGUAAGAAUCAAUAGUAAGUUAAUGCUCUUCCGCGCUAGCUAAUAGUCAUGGCAUCAUUUCAUUAUUAUCCCUCUCUCGCAUUCUUUUUUUUUUUUUUUGAUAUUUUGUGCAAACAAACAGGUGGAAAGCAGCAAGUCCUUCCCAAGGGUGCCAAGAGGCAGAGGAAAAACUUAUACAGGGGGAUCAGGCAGCGACCAUGGGGGAAAUGGGCUGCUGAGAUUCGAGACCCUAGGAAAGGCGUGAGAGUCUGGUUGGGCACUUUCAACACUGCCGAAGAAGCUGCCAGAGCCUACGACAAAGAAGCUCGAAAAAUCAGAGGCAAGAAAGCCAAGGUUAACUUCCCAAACGAGGAUUCGACCAGUCAUCCCACAUGCAUCCCUUCGCAACCCCAGUACCAACAGGUACACAUCCCCAGCCCUCCCACUUUCUGUGGUCCCUCCUCCUCCAAUUGCAAGUUCAAUCAGCUCCGUGUUGGGUCGUCUGAUUGCAAUGCCAGUGACUGCUAUCACGCGAACAGCAUCGAUGAUUGUGUCCGUUUCAACAAUAUGAUGGGUUUUCGAAAUCCAAGCGAAGAGGUUUCUGGUUCUGGUAGUUCCGAUAAUGAAUGUUUUCUUGGCCACCUUAAACAAGUAGCCAAGGCGGCGGAGGAGGAGGCGGCUUCGGUUAUAACUGAAAAUGAUACGAAAGACAAUAACAAAGCAGCUGAAAGCGAGGAGUACCAAGUGGAAAAGCUGUCUGAGGAGCUGCUGGCCUAUGAGUCCUUCAUGAAGUUCUAUCAGAUUCCUGAGUCCUUCAUGAAGUUCUAUCAGAUUCCUUAUAUAGAUGGGCAGUCCGCAGCUGCAUCGGCCAACCCUGCUCAAGAGCUGGCAACUUCUAUUCAGCUUUGGAGCUUUGAUGAUGUCUCGCCCGCCAAUCGCCCAAUGCCUCUGUAACCGCCAAUCGCCCAAGUUCGAUGGUCUUUUUUUUUUUUUUUGGAGUCCCAAUUGCGUUUUGGUGCCUAGUUUUUGUAGGUUUUGUUUUUGGGCUCCUCCAUCUUCUUCUUCUUGAUGAUUGUUUUCUCUUUUGUAUUUGUUGCUCCUCCUAAAAUCCUAGUAUUAAUUUUCUUCGGGUUUUUUUUCCUUUUUUCUGGGUGGCUCUCCUAGUGUUUCAUUUCAUUAAAAUGGUGGGUUGAUUCUCAUUAAAAUUGCAUGCUGUGACGGCAGGGAGAGAAGGCUCAAAGAGAGUGAGGAGAAUUGGUAUGGUUGUUUCAGAGCCGACUGAAUCUUCCGGCGCUUGAAGCGGACAAAAUCAUGGUCUACUCUCACUAGUUUUCCACUGCUAGCCGCUAGGUGCCAACUUUUUUUAUUUUUUUCGCCUUUUAGCAGCUAGUUCACGUAGGACUACGAACUAGAGUCGAGUGGAGUUUUGAACUAAUCGAGUCUAGUCUCAAUUAAAUUUUAUCAAAUUAGAACUCGAACUCGAGCUCGACGAACCCGUAAUUUAAAGCUCGAGCUCAAAAAAAAUAAAAAAUAAUUAUUUUUUUAAAAAAAUAAGUAAAAUAAUAUUUUUUUCUUAAUAAAUAAUAAAAUAUUAAGAAUAUAUAUGUAAUUUUACUAUUAAAAUAAAAAAAUAAAAAUAUAUAUACUUAAAAUAAAAAAUAAAAAUUAUUAUAUAUAUAUACUCGAGCUCGCGAGUCGACUCGCGAACUGAUGAACUUAAUAUUUUGAGGUCGAUUUUGACUCGAAUCAAUUUGAGCUCGACUCGAAAUUUGACUUGAGCCGCUCCAAUUCGUCUGCAGCCCUAAUUUCAUGUUCCGAGAAGCAGCGCUAAAAAACAAAAAAGGUACUCCCUUGCAAAGGUUCAAUCAACAUUAUAGGAUCUCUAGCCAUGCGCUGCACGUGAGCCGGACCCCCCAAAAAAAAAAAGAAAAAACAGCCAAACAAGUCCUAUAAAUGUCACGCGAUGCGCGAGGUGGAAAAAUGGCAACGUCAAAUCAAACGCAACGACGAAAAACACCCAGAAUAAAAUAAGAGAUUUGGAAACAAAAAGAAAUGCUAGCCUUUAAAGAUAAGUACACAUGACAAGACACACGGCAAAGUCUACAGACCAGUUAUUAAUAAUUUUUAAUUGUGUACAAAUUUGAAGAUGACACAUCUUAAUUUGACUUCGCCCGAUGCAAAUAAUAAAUCGAGUAGUUUUGAGUCUUGACAGGUUGAAUUAAAAUAAUGUGAAUUGGUGGAAGAAUUAUCGACAGAACCGAACUAGGGUGGUGCGAGCCUACGCACCCUCCUACUAUACUUCUAUUUGAUGCCUUUUUUUUUUAUUUUUUUUUGUGUGUUUUUUUUCAACGGUAAAAGGUCUGAUGGCUCUAAUGUGUUGUUGGCGCAUUUGGUCAAGCCUCCAGUCGAAAAGUCUUCAUCCCUUCGAUUCCGCUGUCGACUUCCUCUUAGGAUUAAUUACAGUUUGCUCCCUUCAUUGACUGAUCAAAUGUUAAUGAUAAAUUUUUCAUUCAAAAUUUUAAUCAAAUAACACUAAUGUCCUUACAUAAUAGUUCUAGAAUAAUGUUAUAUAUUUAAUCGUAAUAUGAAACAUUUUAUUAAAAAAAAAAAUACAAAGUCACGUGAUUUAAAAAAUAAAAGAUGAUAUAAUACCAAAGAAUUGAAAAAUUAUAUUAUGGAGAAAAAAUUUAAAAAUUCUUAAAAUAUCUGCACAAGUUGUCCAUCGCUUAUCUUUCUUCCUUUAAAUUGUAAAGAGAGAUUGAUUUUGAUAAUUUUUAUUUACCUUGUAGCUUUCGCAAAAAUGUCAUAUAAAACAUAUUAAAAAGUGUUAAAAUAAAAAAAAAUAUAAGCAAACAACUUUCAUUCCAAAUGCACUGAUUAAUUUUUAUUUCAUUUAAAAUAAGUACUGCUAUCGGCAUUGAGAUAAAUACAUUGAAUUGCUUAGACUUCAUUUUUGUGAAUUCUCUAACUCAUUUUUGUACUAAAAGAUCAAAAUGCAGAGUGUAAUUAUUGUGUUUAGAUGCAUUUAGCAACUAUUAAAGAAAUAAGUAUUUAUAUAUUACAAUUAUUUUGUGUGUUUUAGAAUUAAUUAAGAAUAUUUUAAUCAUAAAAAUAUAUAAUUUCAUCCUAACUUCGUCAAAAUGUUGACUAAAAAGGAUAAAGUGUAUACAUUUGAAGUUUAGAGGGGGGUAAAGCAUUAUAAGAGCUCGAGUUCAAGGGAGCAAGGUGUAAUUAACCCUUCUUCUUAAUUCUUAUUUGUCCUUUCCUCUUGGUGAUUCCCGAAGCUGCCUGGCACCUACAUAGAUGAUUGAUGCUACAAACACCCUCGAAAUUAGACGCAUUGAGUUCUCUUUGUUAACUACGGUAUACAGCACCCACCUACCCACCACCAAAAAAAAAAGAAAAAGAAAGAGAGAGAGAGGGACGUAGAGCAAUUUCUACUUUUGGCACUUAGCGGUGCCAAGAUUCCCACCGUUACAUUUGUCGCAGCCCCCCUGCGUUAGAUCCCCGAGAAGAUGUCUCCUUGUUUUAUCCUUCUAUCCAAAUUUCGAACGAGGAUCACGCCUUUUUAAAAACAAAAAAAAAAAAAAAAAUUCAUACAAUUCCAACAAGGAGAAAGUUGUUAAUUAGGCUGCUUUUUUUUUUUUUUCUAUGCUAUGAUCUAGCAGUCAUGGAAAAAUUAAAAGAGACCAGAAUGAGUACGUUACCAGCCCAGACGACUACGAGCUCGUCUGAAAGUCACAUGAAGUGGCUUGUCACAUUUUGUGAUCCCCUGACCUCUCACCCUGCUAAUUUUAAUGGUGACCGCUGAGUUUAGGUUUGUUAAUUAGGCUGCUAGCAUGGGAAACAGUUCUUGUGGUCUAGCAAAGGUGUUUACUAGCGUAUGCAACUGCAACAGCAAAAGAGUAUCAAUGCGAUAUAACAUUGUCAAAUACAUAGGAACCAGCAAAGGCUUGAUUGAGUCCAGAGGACCAUUAAGCGCAGUUAAAUUCUAACAGUAGAUUAAUACUUUUGCAUUCUUUGAUGUUGAAGAAAAUAUCCAACCCCUCCCCACUCCCCACUCCCCAAAAAAAAAAAAACACGCACACACACAUACUACCAGUGAUCUUCAGGAUGCGUUUUUAAUCAUCCGGCAUCAGAUUGUGGUCAACAUGGUUGUUUGUAUUGUUUACCUGCAGCUUAGAGUGCCAUGCGCGCGCGUGUUGCAUAAUUUUUAUUUGCUUGGUUACUGUUUAGGCUGGUUAGUGAUAUCAAGAGGCUGACAGCUCAAACAGGAACCAUCAGAAAAUAUUUUUCGCACCUCUAAUUGAUAUUAGGGUUGUUGGAUGUCGUUGUCCAGAAAUCACUAUGAAAAUAUAGGUGACAAUACUUUUUUAGUUUAGCCUGAAAACGAUAAACCAUUAGUAGUAAAUUUUACGGGGAUGGAAUGAGACAAGGUGCAGCAGCAACCCCCGAAGAAGAAUCAUGGUGGGGAGGAAGGACAGUCAUUGAUUGAAUUCAAGAAGAAGAAGCCAAACACCAAAUUGGGUCGUGAUUAUUGCUUGGGCCAACAUCCGUCCUUGUAGCUCCAUUAUUCGUCUAACAUGUUGAUUGGUGCAGAACGCAGGAGUUGUAGGUGAUUGAACUCUGAAAGCCGACUCUGGGACGCAAGACAGGACUUGGGUUAUUACAGGAGUUGGGGUUAGGUCACUACUCAAUCCAGAGGAUUCAGCCCUUCAACUUUUAGUUGGGCCAUAGGCCCAAGGCACCCAGUAGUGUAAGCUCUUGGGGCUUUGUUUUGUUUUGUUUUGGGGCUUGGGGGAGAAAUCAAAUGGAGUUUCUUUACAGCAAGAAAAAAUAAAAAUAUAAACAAGAUCAAACAUCUUCACAGCGAUGAAGAUCGAAUACCUUGGGAGGAAAAUACCUGUUUCGUCCCUCACUUUUUCACAAAAAAUAAAAACAAAAACUUUUUUUUUUUUGGUCCCUCAUCUUAAAAUGAAGUAAAUUAUUCUCUUGCACUCUGAAAAUGAAAGAAAUUAGUUUCACAAUCACAACCUGAUAUAGAUUUUGGGGAUAAAAUUGGAACAUCACUUCAGAUAGAAAGGUUUUUUUAAAGAGAAUGGUUUUUUUUUAAUGUUAUAACUUAAUUUUUACCUCCUUAUUUAUGUUGGCUUAAUAUCAUCAUUUUCUCAAAAAAAUAAUUUAAGUAAUUUUUUUUUUUUUAAAUGUUGAUGUAAUAUCACGUGCAUAUCAAGCGUAGUUAGAUUUGAAGUGACGAAAACUAAGGUGAUGUUCUAGAAGAUAUGUACCUUUCACUUGCUGUGUUUUGGUUUGUGCAGUGUGUGGUGGAAGCAUAGACUAUAGAGUCUAUAGAGUAUAGACUGGGAAUUGGUAGCGUAAAGGAAAGAAAUCCUCCUCUUUAUGGGCUAUGCAUGCCAGCCAGCCAGCCUGUCAUUAGUAGCAAUCCAAGGUCCAGCUUAGCUGACGAAUCUGCUACCCGUUCACUUUCGGAUAAGCAAAUCUAUCACACUUUACUUUACUUGAGAAAAAAUACUGAUUUAGGUCGAUUCUGCCAUCCACGAAAAUCACUUCCUCAUUGGGUAACGUUGACAUUGACAAAGCAAAAAUCAAAAUGGGGAGCCCAUCCGGUCGGAUGGGUAGGACCUCUUCCCCAUUCAAAUAUGUCAGCGCAUCGGUUAAUCUGCGUCUUCGGGUCCAAAUCCAAUUGCUGAUCAUUCAUUCAUGUGAUGUGCUGCCCACCAGUUUUCAGGUUUACGAUGUGCUCCCCAUCCCACGUGGCAGCGCUAGCUUUCUGUUACUGUAAAAUACAUAUUAGGACUACUAUUAUUUAUAUUACCAAAGGCUGACCCGCAUUUGGCGAAAUGGAUUUGCUGACUAAACAAAGGAAGUACAGAGUGCCUGCGAAGGUUCGAUUGCUGUCCAGAACAACAACAAUCACAAGUCACAACCCCCACUUCUUUUUCUAGAAUAAAAAUUAUCCAACAAUUGUUUGUUUAUUUAUUUAAUAAUCUGGAAUGUGCCUGCAACGCGCUAGGGAGGGCGCAUGUAAUCAAACUUCUUUCCAAGCUCGCUCGGCAACCUGGUGCUUCUAUUUUUAACUUUUUCUAUUCUUUUUUACCUCAAAAAAAUGAAAAAGAAAAAAAGAAAGCCUUCCCUGAUGCUGCUGCACCGCUGUAAAUGUAAAAUACACUUGACCACAUCAGCUGUAAAAUGUAAAAUACACUUCUAGUUCAAAAAAUACAAGGGUAAGAUUGACCGCACAAGCUUUUUCGUUUUAUGACAUUUUCAAAUUCCCAUCGACCGCUGGAUUCUUUUCACAGGGCCUGAAAAAUGAAAAUCAUGAGAAAGAAGAGGGACGCCAUAGUUUGAGCCUUUUUUUUUUUUUUUUUUUUUUAGGAAAUAGUAUGAGCCAAUUGUCACUCUUAAAUACAAACAAGCAUUGCAGACAAUGACAACCAUUUCAACAGGGUUAGACAGAUUAUUAUUGCACUAUGUACAUUACGAUUUUUUUUUUUAACAUGCCUCUGUAACGAUAAGUCAUUUACAAAGAUACUUUCAAAUUGAUUAUCAAUAAUAUAAUUCUCACAUUGACGAAUCAUGACAUGCUCCUAUAACGAUAAGUCAUUUACAAAGAUACUUUCAAAUUGAUUAUCAAUAAUAUAAUUCUCAUAUCGACAGAUAGGAUUCGAACACAAUCAUUUUAAAGUUAAUUUUCAAACUAUUUAAAUUCUCUCUUUUUUUUUCUACCAUAAUUUUAAAUAUAAUAAUUUUCUUAAAAGAAGAAGUAACAUUUAUAAUUUUUUUUUUUUUUAAAAACCAAAUACAUGCUCUAACAAUUAUUAUUCUACAUGUAAAUACUACCCGAUUGUGUGGGACACACCUAAGGCUUGCGCGCUAAAAGUAAUACAGUAGUUGACACUAAUUCAACCAAACGCGGGUUUAGUUUGUUAGCGUCACUGUUCACCAACCCUGCCCCUGCUAUAAAACCGCGGACCCGUCCCAGGCUCUCUCAUUACAUAUUUACAUAUAAGUCAGUUAGGAUCAUCACCGCUGCUGUGAAAUUUCCCGCUUCGCGUCUCCCACACUUAUCUCUUCUCCUCUCCUCUCCUCUCCUGUUCAGAAGCUACCGCUACUCUACUCUACUUCACCAAGUUAGUCUAUGUUAUUUAGUUUGACAUAAUCGUCCCUGUUCCACAAAGUACUGCAAAUUUGUAAGCUUAGAUCAUCAAAAAUGUGUGGCGGUGCAAUCCUCGAAGGCCUCAUCCCGCCCCGCAACAACAACGACGGCACUCGCCGUCUCUCCUCCGCUGACCUCUGGCCCUCCGCUACUGAUUUUUGGCCCAACUCUCACCUUGCCAAGCCCAGCCGCUCCAACCCAACUGAUGCCCCCCACAAAGCCACGCACGAAACUUGUCACGAUCCACAUGAUGAAGCUGGUAAGUAAGAAUCAAUAGUAAGUUAAUGCUCUUCCGCGCUAGCUAAUAGUCAUGGCAUCAUUUCAUUAUUAUCCCUCUCUCGCAUUCUUUUUUUUUUUUUUUGAUAUUUUGUGCAAACAAACAGGUGG
rnacentral:lncRNA from 1 species